AACGCACAUUGCGCCCUUUGGCAUUCCGAAGGGCAUGCCCGUUCGAGCGUCAUUAAACCCAAUCAAGCCCGGCUUGGUCUUGGGCGACAGGGGGAAACCCUUCCGCCUCAAUUUCAGCGGCUGGCCGUCGCCCGCCCUAGCGUUGCAACACAAUCGCUACCGGCGCGUGUAUAGGAGCCAUGCUGUAAGGAUCUCGCACACGAGACAUCGAAAUUUCAAUCGAAAUUUGAUUAGUUGACCUCGGAUCGGGUAGGAAUACCCGCUGAACUUAA
rnacentral:misc_RNA from 1 species